GAAUAUUGCGCAAUGGGGGGAACCCUGACGCAGCGACGUCGCGUGGGCGAAGAAGGUCNUCGGAUNGNAAAGCUCUGUCUUUGGGNCCGAAAGAAAUGACGGUACCCAAUGAGGAAGCGCCGGCUAACUACGUGCCAGCAGCCGCGGUAACACGUAGGGGGCAAGCGUUGUCCGGAAUUACUGGGCGUAAAGGGUGCGUAGGCGGCAUAUUAAGUCAGGUGUGAAACCCAACGGCUCAACUGUGGGCUUGCACACGAAACUGGUAUGCUUGAGUACAGGAGAGGAAAGCGGAAUUCCUAGUGUAGUGGUGAAAUGCGUAGAUAUUAGGAAGAACACCAGUGGCGAAGGCGGCUUUCUGGACUGUAACUGACGCUGAGGCACGAAAGCGUGGGGAGCAAACA
rnacentral:rRNA from 1 species